rnacentral:rRNA from 1 species
ACCUCAGUAACGGCGAGUGAAGCGGUAACAGCUCAAAUUUGAAAUCUGGCUCUUUUAGGGUCCGAGUUGUAAUUUGUAGAAGAUGCUUUGGGCAUUGCUCCGGUCUAAGUUCCUUGGAACAGGACGUCAUAGAGGGUGAGAAUCCCGUAUGUGACUGGUGGCAUUUGUCCGUGUAAAGCUCUUUCGACGAGUCGAGUUGUUUGGGAAUGCAGCUCAAAAUGGGUGGUAUAUUUCAUCUAAAGCUAAAUAUUGGCCAGAGACCGAUAGCGCACAAGUAGAGUGAUCGAAAGAUGAAAAGCACUUUGGAAAGAGAGUUAAACAGUACGUGAAAUUGUUGAAAGGGAAGCGCUUGCAACCAGACUUGCAGGUCGCUGAUCAUCCGGGGUUCUCCCCGGUGCACUCGGCGGCUUUCAGGCCAGCAUCGGUUUGAGUGGUGGGAUAAAGGCCUUGGGAAUGUGGCUCCUUUCGGGGAGUGUUAUAGCCCAAGGUGCAAUGCCGCCUAUUCGGACCGAGGACCGCGCUUCGGCUAGGAUGCUGGCGUAAUGGUUGUAAGCGACCCGUCUUGAAACACGGACCAAGGAGUCUAACAUCUAUGCGAGUGUUUGGGUGUCAAACCCAUACGCGUAAUUAACGUGAACGGAGGUAAGAACCCUUAAGGGUGCAUUAUCGACCGAUCCUGAUGUCUUCGGAUGGAUUUGAGUAAGAGCAUAGCUGUUGGGACCCGAAAGAUGGUGAACUAUGCCUGAAUAGGGUGAAGCCAGAGGAAACUCUGGUGGAGGCUCGCAGCGGUUCUGACGUGCAAAUCGAUCGUCAAAUUUGGGUAUAGGGGCGAAAGACUAAUCGAACCAUUGGAAUA